rnacentral:lncRNA from 1 species
CAAAGACAUCCAUAUUAAUUGUUCCAGCGAAAAUACAAAAUAUAGGGAUAUGCACAAGGUACUAUACUCCCCUGUUCAAUUGUACCAUCCAAUUGAUACUAUAUGUCAAUGCAUCGAUACUAAGUUAUAAUUUUCGACUUUGCAUUUAAUCACCAUUCUCUUUAUUUCUUUUACUAUCAUAUUUUCUUAAUCCGUAUGAAAUGAUCAAAUAAAAUAGUUAUUAUGUGAUAACAAAUUUGUUAAUAAAAGUAGCUAGUAUUUCUUGCUUCUGAAUUUCUCAACCUGCAUGUAGUGUUGGCUAGUGUCUUAAAAUUGCAGGGCUUCCCCAUGUGGUCCUGCCUAAUUAAUACAAAAAUUGUAAUCGGACAAACAUCUACAUCUCAUGUGUAUACCACUAUAUUGGUCUUACCUUGCCUUCGUCUUGCUUCUUUUUACCAUGUUUCCAAGCCACAUAAAAUUAUCUUUCAAAAUUAAUUAAAUAUCCGUAUACGGCCAUGUCCUGAAUUUUUUGUGAUCCGUCUUUAUGUGUGUUUUUCUUAAUGCCAAACAAUACACUACAGUACUACUAAUGAAUCCUAACACCCAAGCUAAAUUAAUGCCGUGAUAAUUUUUUUGUGUAUAAUGGAGACAAUGAUAUUUGAAUCUGUGUAACUUCUACGCAUAUUACUUAAACCUCUCAUAGCUUUUCUAAUUCUGUGAUUCAACUACGCUAAUUUAUUAUUCUCAUUGUUGCUUUGGCAUAAUCAGAGUUGAACAAUUCUUUGCAUUUAUAUAUAUUCUUUCCUAAUAUUUCAUCCCAUCAUUUUUUUUUAUGUGAAAAUCAUUUGGAUCUGGAAUCAUCAAGAUUAGGGUGGACACACACAUGUUUUUGUUGGAUAUUGGAUACUUACUAAUUGAAUCAACCUUCAAUGACAUUAUUAAUUGCAUGGUUAAACUGACAUCUAUAUCAAAAUAUUUUCUGCAUAUUUAAAUUCAAUUUCACAUGUAAUGUAAGGAUUAUACAUUAACAGUAGUUUUCAUUUGUGCAGGUAUAGUUGUGUUGACGUAAUAUUUCUCUAUUUCUAUAUGGGGAACUAGUUAAGUGGAUGUCACCUUCCUUGCAUAGACUCUUCAUGUUCUGCGAAUGAGAUUGCUUGGUGGAAGAGAUGGAAAAGGCCAACAAAUUUUUCUGUUUUUCAACCCAAGGGAUAAUCUUUAAAGUUGAUUGUGACUUAACCUUUCACUUGGCACAUGAAAGUCCAUGUUAUCUCUCCCCACAAAUCAUCUCAUCAAGACAACACAUUGUAAGAUAAAGGGCCCUGUGAUAUCAUGAUAUCCUCUCUUCACAUGAAGAUGCUAACCUCUACUCUAUCCAGCUAGAUUAGUCUUCUGUUGUUUGAAAUUUUAAUUGAUAUUAGUAAUUUUGUGUGGUUUCUAAAAUAUUCUUCAGAUCAG